rnacentral:lncRNA from 10 species
CCGCCAGUGGGAUGGAAACAAGUGGAAGAUGCGACCCCAGUCAUAAACUAUGAUCUCUUAUAUGCCAUCUCCAAGCUGGGGCCAGAUGAUUGGCUAGAGGGUGCGGCACAAAGGAACUUGUCAGGGUGAUGGAGACAUUCUGUAUCUGGAUUGAGCAAUGCAAGAACCUGGGUAAAGACACAGUCAUGGUAACAGCUGUAUACAUCUGUUGAAAACUCAUCAAACUUAUCAUAUUUAGAAAGGGUACAUUUUGCUUCAUGUAAAGUAUGCCUCAAUAAAGUGUACUUGAUUUUAAAAUCA